GACGAACGCUGGCGGCAUGCCUAACACAUGCAAGUCGAACGAGACCUUCGGGUCUAGUGGCGCACGGGUGCGUAACGCGUGGGAAUCUGCCCAAAGGUUCGGGAUAACUCAGGGAAACUUGAGCUAAUACCGGAUGAUGUCUUCGGACCAAAGAUUUAUCGCCUUUGGAUGAGCCCGCGUCGGAUUAGCUUGUUGGUGAGGUAAAAGCUCACCAAGGCGACGAUCCGUAGCUGGUCUGAGAGGAUGAUCAGCCACACUGGGACUGAGACACGGCCCAGACUCCUACGGGAGGCAGCAGUGGGGAAUAUUGGACAAUGGGCGAAAGGCCUGAUCCAGCAAUGCCGCGUGAGUGAUGAAGGCCUUAGGGUUGUAAAGCUCUUUUACCCGGGAUGAUAAUGACAGUACCGGGAGAAUAAGCUCCGGCUAACUCCGUGCCAGCAGCCGCGGUAAUACGGAGGGAGCUAGCGUUGUUCGGAAUUACUGGGCGUAAAGCGCACG
rnacentral:rRNA from 1 species